rnacentral:rRNA from 1 species
CGGUUCCUACGGGGCGCAGCAGUGGGGAAUAUUGCACAAUGGGGGAAACCCUGAUGCAGCGACGCCGCGUGAGUGAAGAAGUAUCUCGGUAUGUAAAGCUCUAUCAGCAGGGAAGAAAAUGACGGUACCUGACUAAGAAGCCCCGGCUAACUACGUGCCAGCAGCCGCGGUAAUACGUAGGGGGCAAGCGUUAUCCGGAUUUACUGGGUGGAAAGGGAGCGUAGACGGCGCUGAAAGUCCGGAGU